rnacentral:rRNA from 1 species
GUGCACCAGGCGCGAAACCUCCGCAAUACACGAAAGUGUGACGGGGUUACCCAAAGUGUCCAAAUUUGGACUGUGGUAGGUGAGUAAUGUCCCCUACUAGAAAGGAGAGGGCAAGGCUGGUGCCAGCCGCCGCGGUAAAACCAGCUCUUCAAGUGGUCGGGAUAAUUAUUGGGCUUAAAGUGUCCGUAGCCGGUUUAGUAAGUUCCUGGUAAAAUCGGGUAGCUUAACUAUCUGUAUGCUAGGAAUACUGCUAUACUAGAGGGCGGGAGAGGUCUGAGGUACUACAGGGGUAGGGGUGAAAUCCUGUAAUCCUUGUAGGACCACCAGUGGCGAAGGCGUCAGACUGGAACGCGCCUGACGGUGAGGGACGAAAGCCAGGGGAGCGAACCGGAUUAGAUACCCGUGUAGU